UUAAUUGAAACCAAAAUAGAGGUAAAUUAUUGUUAAUAAUUUCAUUGAAUUUAUAUUUUCCAAUUGAA
rnacentral:tRNA from 1 species